GACGAACGCUGGCGGCGUGCUUAACACAUGCAAGUCGAACGAUGAACCAGGGCUUGCCCUGGGGAUUAGUGGCGAACGGGUGAGUAACACGUGGGCAACCUGCCCCUGACACUGGGAUAACUCCGGGAAACCGGGGCUAAUACCGGAUACGAACCUCGACGGCAUCGUCGAGGUUGGAAAGUUUUUCGGUCAGGGAUGGGCCCGCGGCCUAUCAGCUAGUUGGUGGGGUAAUGGCCUACCAAGGCGACGACGGGUAGCCGGCCUGAGAGGGCGACCGGCCACACUGGGACUGAGACACGGCCCAGACUCCUACGGGAGGCAGCAGUGGGGAAUAUUGCGCAAUGGGCGAAAGCCUGACGCAGCGACGCCGCGUGAGGGACGACGGCCUUCGGGUUGUAAACCUCUUUCAGCAGGGACGAAGCGAAAGUGACGGUACCUGCAGAAGAAGCACCGGCCAACUACG
rnacentral:rRNA from 1 species